UAAAGAGAGAAUUAUGAAUUAUAAACAGGUAUAUUUUAAAAAGACUUCAAAAAUUAAUAUAAAAUUUUUUAAAGCUUAAUUUUUCAAUAAUUUUUAACGCAUUAUUUAAAAUUAUUGCCAUAGUAAGCAAUUAGUAUUAAUAAUAAAAUGGUUAGUAAAAAGGCUAGUUCACACCAUACAUAAAUUUUGUAUAUCUUGCACAUGCAAUAAGGUCUCACAGUCGCUCGCAAUAAUUUGUUAAAUUUAUUCAAAAAUCAUUAGACUCCAAUAUUAUACGCAUUUGUUUUGAAUCACAAUUAGAAAUAGCAAACAGCUGUUUUCAAAAAGUUGAAUGAACAGUUACAUUUACUCUGUUGGAGGUCAGCUGACCGCACAGCUGUUAUAAAUGCACCAAGUGUUCAGUUGAGUUAAUAGUUCAAUUUACAAUUUUAGUUUCAUUUGUAUGAUUUUAGCUUUUUUUUUUAAACACGCUUGCAAGCCAUUUACAAUGCAUAUUCGAUUCUCAUUUACACGCUAGCCACUAGCCUCGAUGACGGCACAUGCGCAUUUACACUGGCCACCGGAUGCGCAGCGCGAUAAAAAGAGCAAAAGCAAACAACAGUGAAACAAUAAGUGUUGUCGCAAUUACGCUACAGUAUAACGUACUAUAUACGAGUUACAUGUACGAUAUACAUACUAAGUAAUUAUUCACAAGUUUUAUGUUAUUUUGUACACAAACUACAACGGCGGGUAUUCACGUUGAGCAAAAGUGCUAAAAAUUACGACUGCCAGCGCAAGACUAACUGACAAGAAUCAAACAAAACUCAACUUAGUUCAAUAAUAAACUUAUUGUAAACAAGUUAGUCUUGUUUUUGUUUGAGCUUUUAAUUUUGCUUAAGAUAAAAAGUGGUAAAAACAAACCCGUGAAAAGCCUAGCAGCCGGAAUCGUGAAGGAACUGCGAGCCCAUUUUUUCGAGGCGGGGGUGUUCAACACGCUAUAACUCAUGAUCUACACAAUAUUUUUAGCUUAAAAUUUAUAUUUACCGACCAACUGUUGAAAGAUAUAUUAAUAAAUGAUAAUAAACUUAAAGCUCUAUCUAUUUACUGGUCGUAGAAAAAGGUCCCGAAAAAACAGGCCAACACAUGGGAUGACCCCCUUAAUGCGAAAUGGGCAGCAUUGAACACAUGAACUUAGCAAAUGAACUUUAACAGCCAAAAAUUGAAGCGUUGUUGAGACAUAACUGUUCAAAUUAAUUUCAAUAUAAUUAUUAUUUUUUCAAUA